rnacentral:rRNA from 1 species
GACAGAGGUGCCAAGCGUUAGGCGGAAUCACUGGGCUUAAAGCGUGUGUAGGUGGCUGCCUAAGUGCCUUGUGAAAUCCCACGGCUCAACCGUGGAAUUGCUUGGCAUACUGGGUGUCUUGAGCCACUUAGGGGUCGCUGGAACAAACGGUGGAGCUGUGAAAUGCGUAGAUAUCGUUUGGAACGCCAAUGGUGAAAACAGGCGACUGGGAGUGUGCUGACACUGAGACACGAAAGCCAGGGGAGCAAACGGG